rnacentral:rRNA from 1 species
GAUGAACGCUGGCGGCGUGCCUAAUACAUGCAAGUCGAGCGAAUGGAUUAAGAGCUUGCUCUUAUGAAGUUAGCGGCGGACGGGUGAGUAACACGUGGGUAACCUGCCCAUAAGACUGGGAUAACUCCGGGAAACCGGGGCUAAUACCGGAUAACAUUUUGAACCGCAUGGUUCGAAAUUGAAAGGCGGCUUCGGCUGUCACUUAUGGAUGGACCCGCGUCGCAUUAGCUAGUUGGUGAGGUAACGGCUCACCAAGGCAACGAUGCGUAGCCGACCUGAGAGGGGGAUCGGCCACACUGGGACUGAGCACCGGCCCAGAUUCCUACGGGAGGCAGCAGUAGGGAAUCUUCCGCAAUGAACGAAAGUCUGACGGAGCAACGCCGCGUGAGUGAUGAAGGCUUUCGGGUCGUAAAACUCUGUUGUUAGGGAAGAACAAGUGCUAGUUGAAUAAGCUGGAGCCUUGACGGUACCUAACCAGAAAGCCACGGCUAACUACGUGCCAGCAGCCGCGGUAA